UGGGGAAUAUUGCGCAAUGGGGGAAACCCUGACGCAGCGACGCCGCGUGGAGGAAGAAGGCCUUCGGGUUGUAAASUCCUUUGGCAGGGGAUGAAGAAGACGGUACCCUGAGAACAAGCCACGGCUAACUACGUG
rnacentral:rRNA from 1 species